AUAACCAUCAGUAUAUUUUGUAGGAAAUGUGUUUGUCUUUUAUUUUUUUUUUUUUUUGAAAUUCUAAAGUGCAAUGUUUUGACUUCCGGUGUUAAGCUUCGCGCUUUGUGUUUAGGUUCGAGUGGAGCGCGCGCUCGGGUUAGUGCAGUUUUAGUAUAACGAUAGCGUUCAUCGACACUGGAUGUUAUAAUAUAUGUGUAAUUCAUGCUUGCAGCCCCUCAGAAGAGGCAAAAGCUCUUACGUUGGUGAUAUGGUGAACGGAAAAGGUUUAACAAAGGAUUAAAGCAUCAUAAAACCAUCA